rnacentral:rRNA from 1 species
UGGGGAAUAUUGGACAAUGGGCGCAAGCCUGAUCCAGCCAUGCCGCGUGAGUGAAGAAGGCCCUCGGGUUGUAAAGCUCUUUCAGCGGGGACGAUGAUGACGGUACCCGCAGAAGAAGCCCCGGCCAACUCCGUGCCAGCAGCCGCGGUAAUACGGAGGGGGCUAGCGUUGUUCGGAAUUACUGGGCGUAAAGCGCACGUAGGCGGCUCGGCGAGUCAGGGGUGAAAGCCCGGGGCUCAACCUCGGAAUUGCCUUUGAUACUGCCGGGCUAGAAUCCGCGAGAGGGUGGUGGAAUUCCUAGUGUAGAGGUGAAAUUCGUAGAUAUUAGGAAGAACACCAGUGGCGAAGGCGGCCACCUGGCGCGGCAUUGACGCUGAGGUGCGAAAGCGUGGGGAGCGAACAGGAUUAGAUACCCCCGUAGUCC